rnacentral:rRNA from 1 species
UACGGAGGGUGCGAGCGUUAAUCGGAAUUACUGGGCGUAAAGCGCACGCAGGCGGUUUGUUAAGCUAGAUGUGGAAAGCCCCGGGCUCAACUGGGAUGGUCAUUUAGAACUGGCAGACUAGAGUCUUGGAGAGGGGAGUGGAAUUCCAGGUGUAGCGGUGAAAUGCGUAGAUAUCUGGAGGAACAUCAGUGGCGAAGGCGACUCCCUGGCCAAAGACUGACGCUCAUGUGCGAAAAGUGUGGGUAGCGAACAGGAUUAGAUACCCGUGUAGUCC